rnacentral:rRNA from 1 species
UCAGCUCGUGCCGUGAGAUGUUGGGUUAAGUCCCGCAACGAGCGCAACCCCUAUUGUAGUUGCCAUCAUUCAGUUGGGCACUCUAGCGAGACUGCCGGUAAUAAACCCGGAGGAAGGUGGGGAUGACGUCAAAUCAUCAUGCCCCUUAUGACCUGGGCUACACACGUGCUACAAUGGUUGGUACAACGAGUUGCGAGUCGGUGACGGCGAGCUAAUCUCCUAAAGCCAAUCUCAGUUCGGAUUGUAGGCUGCAACUCGCCUACAUGAAGUCGGAAUCGCUAGUAAUCGCGGAUCAGCACGCCGCGGUGAAUACGUUCCCGGGCCUU